CUAGCUUACGUGGAGGCGCUGGUGGGAUACUACCCUAGCUGUGUUGGCUUUCUAACCCGCACCACUUAUCGUGGUGGGAGACAGUGUCAGGCGGGCAGUUUGACUGGGGCGGUCGCCUCCUAAAAGGGAACGGAGGCGCUCAAAGGGUCCCUCAGAAUGGGUGGAAAUCAUUCAUAGAGUGUAAAGGCAUAAGGGAGCUUGACUGCGAGACCUACAAGUCGAGCAGGGUCGAAAGACGGACUUAGUGAUCCGGUGGUUCCGCAUGGAAGGGCCAUCGCUCAACGGAUAAAAGCUACCCCGGGGAUAACAGGCUUAUCUCCCCC
rnacentral:rRNA from 2 species